CCCAUAUCAAUGCAUACACGUAAAAACAAAAACAGACCGUGUAUUUUUAAGCAUUUUGUACGUGUGUACGUGAACAUAGCGUCGUAGCCCUGGAAACGAGGAGGAUGCGUUAUUUAACGUCACCUGCUGACCUUCAGUUACUCUGUGAGCAGCCAGACACAGAGAGAGGAGUGCUGUGAGCUUUAAGCAGAGAAAACAGAGAGAAAGUUGAACAAAACCAGACAAAAGUCUUUACUAGAGACUUCUACAGGACAAGGACCAGAACCAGAACCAGGACCAGGACCAGACAGAGAAGAGACUUCAAACCUGUGAAGAAGUUUAGACCAGACGAGACCAUGGACCCACGCAUGGCGGAGGGAUUUUUCCCUGGCGGGGCUGGACUUCCGGAUUGGGUCCAGGGCUGGGCAGGACCUCUGGGUUGGGUCCCGGGCUGGGUCCCUGGUUGGGUCCCGGUCUUGGCAGGACCUCCGGUUUUGGUCUCGGACACGGCUGGACCCCCUCCUUUCGUCCCUGGCUGGGACGAAUUUCCAGAAGAACCAGAAGAACCAGAAGAGCAGGUAGUACCAGGAGACCAGGAAGUACCAGAUGACCGAAAAGCACCCGAAGACCCAGAAGCACCAGAAGACCCAGAAGCAGAAGAAGACCAGAAAGUACCAGAGGACCAUGAGCAGGACCUUCCUGAUGAAACUUUGUUUUCCUUCUACGAGGUGACUCCUGGCUGGGAGACCCCUGAGGACUUUGAUUCCUCAGAUUACAGUGACUUUGAGGAUGAAGGUUAAGUAUUCCACUUAGUCGCAGUGUCUCCAAGAAGAGGUGUUACUGUAGUGAUUCUACAGUCAGGCACGUAGACAGUUCUGAGGAACCUUCGUUGUCCGACUCUGACUGUCAGUGUGAGCCUGGGACAAAGAGGCCGAGACGGGACGACAGCUCUGACUCAUCUUAGAGUCAUCUGUGCUUUUCCUUUUCCUGCUCCUCUCCAUCUAUGAGCAGAGUUCCCUGUUUGUAUCCGGCUUCCACAGCUAGUCCUUGCGUCUGGCAGGAUUAGCUCAGCCUUUGGUUACAUUAACACCAACCAAGGCUGGUCUAUGUGUGUCUAUGUGUGUGUGUGUCCAGUGCGUCUUGUACCUGGGCUCUUUUGUAAAUAGGUGUUUUAGGUAAGUUGGCCUUUGCGUCUUGCGGGGCGUCUGAUGUCCCAGGCAGCGUCUGGUACCUGGACUUUUUAGAUGGUAAGGAUCUCAUUUUUUGUUUCUUUAUGACGGGCCACAGCUGGAGUGGUUGUCCUGUCACAUGCAUAAAAUAUUAGGUUUAGUUAAGUUAGAGUUAAGAAUUAGAGAUAACAUUUUUAAUCCAUGCAAGUGAAGACAGGAGGAGACCUCAGCAGAGAACAGAGACCAAAGAACCAAAACAACGUAAGGAAAAACACUGAACAAACAUUUCAUGUUAAAAUAGACGUCACUUUAUACUAAUGCCUGUAAAAUGUUAAUUGGACCAACGGUAUCCACUGAUGGAGGAAGAGGAGAAAGAUGGAGGACAGGAGCACCAGCCCAGCAUCCACAGCAGCCCACUGAAGAGUCCACCAAGCAGCCUGAGGAGGAGACAUCAGCAGAGGACAGAAAUAAUUUUAUUAUUAACCAAAACAAUCAAUGUAAGUAAAGCCUCUCAUUUACACAGAAAGACAUUAAACUAAUGUUUAAUGUAAAAAUAGACGUCACUUUAUACUAAUGCCUGUAAAAUGUUAAAUGGACCAACGGUAUCCACUGAUGGAGGAAGAGGAGAAAG
ensembl:lncRNA